rnacentral:lncRNA from 1 species
GCCAGGUGCAGUGCAUGUAAUCCCAGCACUUUGGGAGACUGAGAUGGGAAGAUCGCUUGAGGCCAGGAGUGCAAGACCAGCCUGGGCAACACAGCAAGACCUUGACUCUACUAAAAAAAAAAAAGGAUCCUUCAACUUCAACAAUAAUAACACGAGGGAAGUGAAGAAAAACACUUUCUAAGGAAAUCUCUCUCUGAGCUACCAUCCUGCUAGGGAGAGCCUGAAAGCAGAAUGCUGACUUGACUAGCUCUGGUCAAUGAAAGAAAUCACUAGUGGAAAGGCUACCAGGGGGCUUUCUCAAAAGAGAGGGACAGUAAACUGCAAGAUGAACAACUCAAUGCCAUCCAGGUCUGGAUGAGAAAGAACAGUCGAGAGACUGAGUUUCAGGAGUGGAAACACCCAAAGCAUCAUCUUCCACUUUCUUCUCCGGCUGCUAGGAAGAAGGGAAAAACACAGACCUUCUGAGGACCUGUGGAGCAAACCACUGGCUUCAGAAAAGCAAACAGGGACUUCCCUCUGCGCAGCAGGAAGCAGUUAGCCUAGUCGGAGGCUUGACUGAAGAAACAAAUGUAUCCACUGAUAAUGGGCAAGAGCCUGAGGCUCUGGAGCCAAGGGGGAACCCUAAAAAGCUGAUUCAAGUAAGAGAAGCAAGGAUCAUGCAAUUCCACAUGGCCACCUCGAAGCAGGAAUCCGUUAAUGAUAGUAAAGGACU